rnacentral:tRNA from 1 species
GUGGGUGUAGCUCAGCUUGGAUAGAGCGUCUGACUGUGGCUCAGAAAGUCGCGGGUUCAAAUCCCGUCACCCACC